CAGUAGCCACGGGAAUACGAAGGGUGCAAGCGUUACUCGGAGUUACUGGGCGUAAAGCGUGCGUAGGUGGUGGUUUAAGUCCGUUGUGAAAGCCCUGGGCUCAACCUGGGAAUUGCAGUGGAUACUGGAUCACUAGAGUGUGGUAGAGGAUAGUGGAAUUUCUGGUGUAGCAGUGAAAUGCGUAGAGAUCGGAAGGAACAUCUGUGGCGAAGGCGACUAUCUGGGCCAACACUGACACUGAGGCACGAAAGCGUGAGGAGCAAACAGGAUUAGAUACCCGCGUAGUCCCUGUCUCUUAUAA
rnacentral:rRNA from 1 species